UGCUGUCCUGUGCUCCUGAUCCACGAGGAGCCGGCUGGGCGGGAAGAGGAUGGGAUGAGAGCCCCGUCCAGUCCAGCAGGGAGGCGUGGAAGUGCUCAGCUCUUCCUGGGAACCCUGGUCCUUGGAGCCCCAGAACUGGGGAGGGGGCGGUCAUGGGCAACGUCCUCACGGACAGAGUGUCCAGAGAUGCAGCCACCACCCACGUGACCCGGGUUCUCAUCCGGCUCUUGAUCCCCACAUUGCUCGUUAUCUCAGAAAUGUAAACAGCCACUGGCAGGCAGGCCGAGAGUCUGGGCCUGGCCUGCUGGAGCCACUCUCUGAGGGUCAGAGUUCACGAGGCAUGGCCAGGACUUCAGUGCGUUUAAGAGAGAAAGAAGGGAGAAGGAAGGCGUGCUUCCUGCGAUGUGUGCUGCUCCUGGCCCUGUGGGCAGGUGUUUGCAGACUGGAAACCUCUGGCUCAGAUCGUCACGUCAGCGCUGCACCCAGAAGCGGCUCGCAGAUAACACCGCGGCCUCCCCUGCAGUGCUGCAGCCAUGCGUCUCCCGGGAGCAGUGUUCUCCAGGAACGGGGACCGGCAGGACGCCCCUCGCGAGUGUGCUCAGGAGGCAGUGUCCUGCCUGCACUCAGGAUGAAGCUGGACUUGGCUCUUUCCGGCACUCUCAUCAGCCUGGCUGUGCUGGCGCUGCUGCCUCCUGGAUGUGCCCAGCAGGCUGCGGAUGAUGCCUGCUCGGUGCAGAUCCUCGUCCCAGGCCU